GUUACGCCCCAACGAGUUUCCUUUGGGUUUCAUCUCCAUAAGAGUGGCUGGGUUUUUUUACGUUGGCUCGCCACGCCUAUCACAACCCUCCUCCUUUACCCGGGCUUGGGACCGGCUAUGCUGAGACAACAUAGGCGGAGUUAUCAAGAGAAUAAAGCAUCGUGCAGAAAAUCAUAGUCCACGACAACCGACGGCGAAAGAAGCUCGGCGGUUAAGGCACAUGGACGUAGAUCGACAAUGCAAAAGAAGUCCAAAAAAUCCUAUAGAAAACAACAAGGGCAAGUAGGCCACAAAAGUUGCAUAGAAAGGAUCAGGACCGGAAAAAGGCUGACGGACUAAGGUAUGGUGGACUCGCAUGGCAUGAGAAAACACAAAAUAUCAAAGGAUUUGGUGGACGCAGCGGAAAAUAUAGAAAACUA
rnacentral:lncRNA from 1 species